UGGAGUGACAUGUGGAACUGAUUCUCUUUCCUGCUCUUCUCUGCAACAUAGGAGUGAGCAGCCUCCCUUGUUGGAGGUAGAUGUACCAGAUGGACACAUACCUGUAAUCUUGCCUGGAAGGAAGGAGGUGUGAAGGUGCCUUGGGACCUCUCUUAAUCCAGGAGGACUGGGAAGCAGGCUUGGCUUGUUAAGCUUGGAGAAGAGAAGGCUCCAGGGGGAUCUUAUUGUGGCUUGAAGAGAGCACAUAAACAGCCUUGGUGGAUCUGAGUUGAUUGACAGAAGAGUUGUAGGAAACAACCUCCAAGCAGUUAACUGGCGUGCCAUCUCCUGAGAGCAGAACUCAUACCGAAGACCUUUCAAGAGUGUGGGGAACACAUGUGCUGAGUGAAGUUCCACGGGCUGAGCGCAGGGGUGUGCGAUGCGUGGAGCAGUUGUGUGAAAGCUUUCCACAUAAGGAGAUCUGCAGGAGGGCGCAGUGACUUGCUGAUGGCUUGAGUGCUGUUCCCAGAGAACGUUCGUGUGAGCUGGGGAACAACACGUAAUGUUUCCGUGUGAUUAAUGAGAAACUGUCAUCUGCAACAGAGUCAGCGCAGUGCCUCCGUAGCUGUGUGCAUCAAACUCUCAGAGCCAGCCCACGGUGGAAUAUUAGUGGAAUUACUCAGCAGAUUACUUCCAUGUUGUUUUUGUCAGCUUAUUCAUCCUGACGCCCAUUUGAUAAAAGGAAGGGGGUGCAAGAGCUUGCGUUACGCGUUUUUGUUAGCGUCUGACUAGUGGCUCUUCAAAAGGUCACGGGUACUUGAAGCUGUUUCAGACUGGUCAGACCACGGCUAUUAGUCAUGGUGCAUUAUUCACCCCCGUCUCUCUUUCUUUCAUUAUUCUUCCCCUUUCUUUUAGUAGAAGAAAUGAUCUUUGGCAAGGAAACAAUAGCUGAAGGAAGCAAUUUUUUUUUUUCUCCGGAUGUUAAGUUUUUCCACCGGAAUUUAAUAGGAAUUAUUGGCACACUAUCUGCCACAGGAUGACCUGACCUCCCCUGUGACAGUUCACAAGUGCAGGAUGCAGGAGACGUCUUAGGUUUUGUCUGCUUGUUUUCCUGUUGAGCGUGGUGGCUUUGCUGUACCCACAGUGCUUACUGGGAAACCAUUCUGGCCUUACCUAGUUUGCUGCCACAGGGUGCUUGUUCUGUGAGAAUGAUUUAGCAGCAUUCCUCUACAUCUUUCAGUUGCUUCUUACAUUUAAAGCAACCUAAGAAACAAAAACAAAAAGCUAAUGAAAAUGGGUGAAAAUUGGUGAAAUCUCACAAUUCUUCCCUGGAUGGAGACACUGAUUGACAGCUGUUAGUCUGACAUGGCUGUUUUUUUGUAAGUGAAAGCUAGUAGGGGCUUAUCCUGUAAGCUGUUUGUGUAGCAGUACAGCCUGCUGAAUCCACCACCUUCAACCUCUAUUUGUUUUGGUUCUGUGUGGAUAUAAAAGAUGUUCCUUGCCCCAAAAGUCUAUCUUUGUGAUAGACAACCAACUGGAAGUGAAAAGUAUUAAAAACAUAAGGUAUUUUAGGAAAUAGUUGCUGUGUGUAACUUAGUCAAUCAGCAGCUGUAAUGCUUUUGUAAGCCAUUCAAUAUGUGAGUGUGAAGACUGGCAGGAAAAAAAAAAAGCAACACUUUCUCCAGUGGAAACAAACAGAAAAUAUUCAUGUAGUGUUAUGAUCUAAAUAGAAUUGUGACCUGUAUGUUCUUGGAAUAUGCUUCUUGUUUUCAAACAGAAGGUAUAUUUCUGUUCAGGCAAUGGACAGAAAGGCCAUUCAGACAGUAAACUGGAUAUAAAUUCAUGCUAGAUAAAUGUUUUAUUUAGCUGGGGAUCUGAAUUUUAAAUAUAUAGAAGCCGAAGUUUAUUUGAGUAAAGUCUUAGCAUUUAUUUUCAUGUCCAUGAACAUGUAAAUCACUGUCUAUCACUAUUUCAGCCCAGAAAGCCAACUGUAUCCUGUGAUCGA